rnacentral:rRNA from 2 species
GACAGAGGUGCCGAGCGUUAGGCGGAAUCACUGGGCUUAAAGCGUGUGUAGGCGGAUUCCUAAGUACCUUGUGAAAUCCCAUGGCUCAACCAUGGAACUGCUUGGUAUACUGGGUGUCUUGAGCCAACUAGGGGCUACCGGAACAAAUGGUGGAGCGGUGAAAUGCGUAGAUAUCAUUUGGAACGCCAAUGGUGAAAACAGGUAGCUGGGGUUGUGCUGACGCUGAGACACGAAAGCCAGGGGAGCGAACGGG